rnacentral:pre_miRNA from 1 species
AGUGGAUAGCUGGAUCAAAUGGUGGUUCCAUUCCAAGUUUUCUGAGGAAUCUCCAUACUGCUUUCUAGAGUGGUUGCACUAAUUUGCAGUUCCACAAGCAAU